rnacentral:rRNA from 1 species
CCUACGGGAGGCAGCAGUAGGGAAUAUUGCUCAAUGGGGGAAACCCUGAAGCAGCAACGCCGCGUGGAGGAUGAAGGUUUUCGGAUUGUAAACUCCUUUUGUUAGAGAAGAUAAUGACGGUAUCUAACGAAUAAGCACCGGCUAACUACGUGCCAGCAGCCGCGGUAAUACGGAGGGUGCAAGCGUUACUCGGAAUCACUGGGCGUAAAGAGCGCGUAGGCGGGAUAGUAAGUCAGAUGUGAAAUCCUAUGGCUUAACCAUAGAACUGCAUUUGAAACUGUUAGUCUAGAGUAUGGGAGAGGUAGGUGGAAUUCUUGGUGUAGGGGUGAAAUGCGUAGAGAGCAAGAGGAAUACUAAUUGCGAAGGCGACCUGCUAGAACAUAACUGACGCUGAUGCGCGAAAGCGUGGGGAGCAAACAGGAUUAGAUACCCCAGUAGUC